rnacentral:rRNA from 1 species
GACGAACGCUGGCGGCGUGCCUAAUACAUGCAAGUCGAGCGGACUUUUCAGAAUCUUUGCCCUCCGGCAUGUUAGCGGGGGACGGGUGAGAAACACGUAUGCAACCUCUCCAUAAGAGCGGGAUCACAUUCGGACACGAAUGCAAAUAGGGUAUAAUCUGACUUCGCGCAGUAGGGGAGCGGGAGAGGCGGUUGCAGUUGCCGCUUGAGGGUUCGCCGGCGGCGCAUUAGCUAGUUGGUGGGGUAACGGCCUACCAAGGCGACGAUGCGUAGCCGACCUGAGAGGGUGAUCGGCCACACUGGGACUGAGACACGGCCCAGACUCCUACGGGAGGCAGCAGUAGGGAAUCUUCCGCAAUGGACGCAAGCCUGACGGAGCAACGCCGCGUGAGUGAGGAAGGCCUUCGGGUCGUAAAGCUCUGUUGCCAGGGAAGAACGGGUAGGUAAGUAACUGUCCUCGCCAUGACGGUACCUGAGAAGAAAGCCCCGGCUAACUACGUG